rnacentral:lncRNA from 1 species
GAGGGCUAUGGGCCUGGGGCAGUGAAAGAAGGUUGUGGGGUCCUAUUCUACCCCUGCCUUGGGACACACUGUUGUGGGAAGGAACACAGGAGUGGCAAGGGGGGCCUUGGCUUGGUGAUGGCUUUGGAGAGACUGUUCUCUCUCUUACUGGGUAUAUGCUCAUGGCCAUUCCCGCUGCUAGAGACUUGCAACUUAACUGGUCUCGAACCUCCUGCUACCGUAUAACCCUACUUCCUUCUCUGAAUUGAGUAGAGCGACAAGCCCCAGAAAGGGCAGCCCUGCCAGAUUGGUUUAGUACACUCUUGCCCAUGUUGAAAAUAAAGUGACCCAGGUUAAAAUGAAACAAGGCUGUGCUGGGCAUGGUGCCAGGGUGGCAAUAGUGUGCUUCGGUGAUCCAUUCCAGAGGGACAUUUACUCACCCACCCUGUUGUACUAGAUGCUAUCAGAUUCAACCUCCUCCCCCAUUUCUCUUUUUUGAGAAGGGUUCCAGUUAUGUAGCCCUGGUUGACCUUAAACUAGCUCUGUAGAUUAGGCUGGCCUUGAACUCACAGAGAGACCUACCUGUCUCUGCCUAGAGAAUGCUGGGAGUAAAGGUGUGCACUACCACAUCUGGCUUUUGCUCUUUUGUUUCUUAACAAUUUGAGGAAAAGUUGAGUUGCUUUUAGAAAUCAUCAUCUAAUCUGGGCAUAGUUUUGUAUGCCUUUAAUCCCUUGGUAGGCAUCGGCUGGUGGAUUUCUGUGAGUUCAAGCCUGGUCUACAUAACCAGUUUCAGGACAGCCAGGGUUCCACAUAGAGAGACCUUGUCUCAAAAAGCAAAACAAAAAUAAACAACAAUAAAAAACAAACAAUCAAGGCAGGAGGAUUGAAAAUUUGAAGCUGGCUUGGGCAAUAUAUUGAGACAUUAU